rnacentral:rRNA from 1 species
GAGGCAGCAGUGGGGAAUAUUGGACAAUGGGCGCAAGCCUGAUGCAGCCAUGCCGCGUGUGUGAAGAAGGCCUUCGGGUUGUAAAGCACUUUCAGCGGGGAGGAAGGCGGUGAGGUUAAUAACCUCACCGAUUGACGUUACCCGCAGAAGAAGCACCGGCUAACUCCGUGCCAGCAGCCGCGGUAAUACGGAGGGUGCAAGCGUUAAUCGGAAUUACUGGGCGUAAAGCGCACGCAGGCGGUCUGUCAAGUCGGA